GAUGAACGCUGGCGGCGUGCCUAAUACAUGCAAGUCGAGCGAACGGACCAGAAGCUUGUUUCUCUGAUGUUAGCGGCGGACGGGUGAGUAACACGUGGAUAACCCACCUCUAAGACUUAGAUAACUGCGGGAAACCGGAGCUAAUACCAGAUAAUAUUUUCCACCUCAUGGUUCAAAAGAGAAAGACGCUCUUGCUGUCACUUAUAGAUGCUUCCGCGCUGCAUUAGCUGGUUGGUAAGGUAAUGGCUUAGCAAGGCAACGAUGCAUAGCCGACCUGAGAGGGUGGUCGGCCACACUGGAACUGAGACAGGGACCAGGCGCCUACGGGAGGCAGCAGUAGGGAAUCGUCGGCAAUGGGGGGGAGCCUGACGGAGCAGGGCCGAGUGAGUUGUGAAGGUCUUCGGAUCGUAAAACUCUGUUAUGAGGGAGGAACAUAUGUGUAAGUAGCUGUGCACAUAUUGACGGUACCUAAUCAGAAAGCCCCGGCUAACUACGUG
rnacentral:rRNA from 1 species